rnacentral:rRNA from 1 species
UACGUAGGGUGCAAGCGUUGUCCGGAAUUAUUGGGCGUAAAGAGCUCGUAGGCGGUUCGUCGCGUCGGCUGUGAAAUCCCGAGGCUCAACCUCGGGUCUGCAGUCGAUACGGGCAGACUAGAGUUCGGCAGGGGAGACUGGAAUUCCUGGUGUAGCGGUGAAAUGCGCAGAUAUCAGGAGGAACACCGAUGGCGAAGGCAGGUCUCUGGGCCACUACUGACGCUGAGAAGCGAAAGCAUGGGGAGCGAACAGG